CCUACGGGAGGCAGCAGUAGGGAAUCUUCCGCAAUGGACGAAAGUCUGACGGAGCAACGCCGCGUGAGUGAAGAAGGUUUUCGGAUCGUAAAACUCUGUUGUCAGGGAAGAACAAGUAUGGGAGUAACUGCCCGUACCUUGACGGUACCUGGCCAGAAAGCCACGGCUAACUACGUGCCAGCAGCCGCGGUAAUACGUAGGUGGCAAGCGUUGUCCGGAAUUAUUGGGCGUAAAGCGCGCGCAGGCGGCCUUUUAAGUCUGAUGUGAAAGCCCCCGGCUCAACCGGGGAGGGUCAUUGGAAACUGGAAGGCUUGAGUGCAGAAGAGAAGAGCGGAAUUCCACGUGUAGCGGUGAAAUGCGUAGAGAUGUGGAGGAACACCAGUGGCGAAGGCGGCUCUUUGGUCUGUAACUGACGCUGAGGCGCGAAAGCGUGGGGAGCAAACAGGAUUAGAUACCCUGGUAGUCCACGCCGUAAACGAUGAGUGCUAAGUGUUGGGGGGUUUUCCGCCCCGUUCGUAGUGCGUGCAGCUAACGACAGUUAGGUCGACGUCCG
rnacentral:rRNA from 1 species